AGGACGAACGCUGGCGGCGUGCUUAACACAUGCAAGUCGAGCGGAAAGGCCCUUCGGGGUACUCGAGCGGCGAACGGGUGAGUAACACGUGAGCAACCUGCCCUUAGCUCCGGGAUAGCUCCGGGAAACCGGAAUUAAUACCGGAUAUGACCUAGGCCGACAUCGGCUGUGGGUGGAAAGUUUUUCGGCUGGGGAUGGACUCGCGGCCUAUCAGCUUGUUGGUGGGGUAAUGGCCUACCAAGGCGACGACGGGUAGCCGGCCUGAGAGGGCGACCGGCCACACUGGGACUGAGACACGGCCCAGACUCCUACGGGAGGCAGCAGUGGGAAUCUUGCGCAAUGGGCGAAAGCCUGACGCAGCGACGCCGCGUGGGGGAUGAAGGCCUUCGGGUUGUAAACCCCUUUCAGCAGGGACGAAGCGAAAGUGACGGUACCUGCAGAAGAAGCGCCGGCUAACUACGUGCCAGCAGCCGC
rnacentral:rRNA from 1 species